CGGAGCGACACCGCGUGUGGGAGUGAAGUCUUUCGGGAUGUAACCACUGUCGGAGGGAAGACAAAAAGACGGUACCCUCCAAGAAAGCCCCGGCUAACUACGUGC
rnacentral:rRNA from 1 species